ACUGGUGCAGCCCCGGCCGGAUCCUGGGCCCGAGGAGAAGGCAGGGCUCACCCUCCAAAGCAGUACCUGCCGAGGACCCAGCAGGCCCCAGGCCCCCGAGGGCGCGACCUUGGGUUCACCGGGAGGGAGGCCAGGGACGAACACUUCCUUCCGGAGCUGGGCCUUGUCGGGUGGGACGAUGGCAAACGUCCCACUUCCCAGCUGCUAAGGGUCAGCCAGAGCUGCUGUUUCUGUGUCUGUCAGAGGGGAACAAAGUUCCGGUUCGUGUGGCUCACCGGAUGGAAGAUGGGCAGGCAGACCGUGGCGUGCCCGCAUCAGCGAGACACAGCAACGAAAAUAAAUGAUCUUCAGCGACGGAGAGGCCCCACGGACGUCCAGCGUGAGGCACAGGGGAGCCUAGACUCCAGGAGGACACGAGGAGCCGGUGCUGUUCCCACGCGGCUGGAGAUGCGGCCACACGGAGCCGUGGGGUCCGGGGGUGCACGCGGAGCGGGGGAUGGGAGACACGGCCACCACCUUCCUGUCGGGGACAGCCUGCAGAGUCCUUAGCUCGUCAAAGAUUGGCUUUCCGACGAAGCAGACCUCGAGACAAAGAUUUGGAUGGCCUCUGAUCCCACGGAAUGCAACGUCGUGGGGCCGGGAGCCCGAGUCCCUGAGCGGACCCUGGGGCCGAGGUGAGAAGGAUCGUCUGACCUCCAUGCCCUCGUUCCUGGGCCGGUGUCUCCACUUCCUGGAUUAGAGCACUGCCUGAUGGAGAAAAAUAUCUGCUAUACCUCGGAGGACGGAGGUUCGGAAUAGGUCCAUCCACGUCGUGGAAUGCACCGGAACCUCAUGCCCUUUUAAGGACAAACACUGCUCUGUUGUCGAUGGAGCACAUCUGUUUAUCCGUCCGCCCGUCGCCGGACACUCGGGCCGUCUCCCCUUUUGGGUCUCACUCACUGUCUCUCCAGGGACGGCAUCCUACCUCCACACAGGUCAUGGCCAAACCCAGGCAUUGAGGAGCCUUUCAGGCUGGUAGGUUUGUUUGAGGUGGACGUGUGUAGGAGACAGGACCAGCAGGUCCCAGGGUCCCGGUCCUUUGGUCACCCCUUCCCUGUCAUGGGGGUCUGUUGGCCUGAGGUGACAUCUCAUGGGAUUCUCUGUCGGCAGAUGAGAUACCCUGGGAGCCCUUGGCAAGUGUGGUGGGCGGAGGCUGUGGGGACGGGGAAGGCAGAGCCUGAACACUGAUCGGUAUGGGAUGGUAAAUCGCCCCCCAGGAGGGAAGGUCUGAUGGGUUCUGAUGUACUCACCUCAGCAUCAGGAUGCUGGUUGGUGGCUGGAGGGGCAGCACCCCGGCCAGGGCUUAGGGUCGGUCCCCGCCGCGCCCCCUGUGUAGAACCUCUAGCCUCACCGCCACCCAGCUCUGUUCGCAUGCUGCUUGUUCAAGGACAGUGGGGAACAGACGGGGGGGGGCUGGCCCUCACUGUGCCGGCGUCCUAUUCUCCUGGCCACGUGCACACCGGUGCCCUCACAGGCCAUCGCGUGUAGGGGUGGGGGAUGGUGAACAACCGUUCACACAUCGGGAGCCCACCCGUCCCCAGGACCUCCUGGGGUCUGACCUGAUCCUGACCUUCUGGGCCGUUCGCCCCUGUCUUGGAGUCGCCGUGUCCCCCAGCCCCCCACCACUUCUGCCUUCCCAUGAAGUUGAUGACGUGUCCCUGUUGAAGCUCUGCCUCGUGGGACCACGCCCGAGUGAGUGGGGCUGAAGCGAGAGAGUGGACGGUGCACGUUUGUUUGUCCAACCCGGGGCAGCCGCGACAGAACCGGGGGCAGGGCCAGCCGGUCGCAGAGGUGGUCACCGAGGAGCCUGGAGUCGCCGGGGAGCGGGCGCGCUUCCCCAGGGUUCCGUGAGGCCUGUCGCUUUGCUCAGAUUCACUGUCUGUUCUGCUGAGUGAACUAACUGUGCCCACGGUUGUAGCCCACGUCUUCUUGUGCACGGACCGUCGGCAGGCCUUUGCAAGCCGUCGAGUGUUCAGAUGAACGUCCCGGUAGUUUCCAGCAGGAAAGCGGUUAAAUUAAUUUCAAAAUCAUUUUGAUGUUUUUCAUCCCGUUGAUGGAGUCUAGAUAAAGCAGCUGGAAGUUUAUUCUGUCAAACGUGAAACGCACCUGAUGUGCGGCCGCUUGAGCUGUAAAUUGAGUUUUAAAAAACGCCUUCGAUGCUGAAAUGUUUUUGGUUUGGCAGGUGAUUACAAGAAGACAAAUUUUGGAUGAUCACAGCUCUGUGAUUAAAGACACAAUAUUUUGAUCUUGUUAAGAAACCCAUCAUCCCUGGGCACUCCGGUGGCUCACACCAUGUUCCUCAUUGCGUGGAAACCAGCCUGGGGUGUGGCCAAUGGACCUAGAAGGUGUGCUUUUCAAAACGUGAGGAUAUUUUUAUGCACACACAGCAGAGCUGGACGACGGAACGGAUUUCAAAGGUGCCGUGUCAUUAAAAAACGCUUCGGCACGCCGUGUGGGGCUGUGUGCCGCAGGUUCUCAGAGUUCGGAAACAUUUGGCGGUCGAAGGACGACCCGCAGUGAUUUCAGACAUUUUUGGGAAUGGGUCUGUAGAUUGUGGCUGCGUUUUAUGUAAGUUGGACGUUUUUAAAUCGUCCCAUUUGUCCGACGGAGGACCACAGCACUCGAGCUUUUGAAUCCUCAGGGAUUGUACCGAUUGAGAGUAAAGUUCGCAAAGUUGAACAGAACUGCCGUGGAGCCAUGGGGAAGCCAGGGAGGAGACGGAACAAACUGAACUCGGGGGGGGUCGGAGAGUAUGCAAGAUCUAAUUUCCAAAUUGUGUAAUUGUGCUUUGGAAAAUCGUACUCGUGGGAAGAAUGUUUUGAUGGUGCCUUUAGGUCUGAUUGGGUAGAUUUAUAUUUUGGAACGACACGGAACCCUUUUGAGCUGGCCAUUGAAAAGGAUCACGCACAGGGGCGGCUUAUUUGAGUUUUGCCUGUAACGUAUUUGUUGCAGGAUAAGACCUGAGCCUCUGGGUGGGCGGGUUAGAGACCUGAGGAGGGCGCCCAAGAGGGUAUUUGUGCUGGAGUAUUUACACGUUCAAAUAAAACAAAAACAAAAACUAACAAACAAGUGAGCCCAGGACUGUGCAUAUUUUCCACGGAGCAGAAGUUCCUCUGAGCCCGUGGGGCAUCCGGGGUCUCUCAAGAGUGAGUCGUCUGAACUGAAAACACUGUGGUCUAUCGAGGGCCUCGCAAGCCCUCCAGAAAUUCAAAGCCAUGAAUGUAAAUUUGAAGGAUUUGGCAGCAGUUUCAUGAAAACAAUAAAAAGUAAGAUCCAGUGAGAGAAAUCCCAGUGGUCAGUAGGAGAGAGCCUCGGGCAAGGACACAGAGUGGAGGGUACGACAAUGCAGCGAGAAUAGUAAAUACAAACUUGAGAUUUUAACGCAGGUUUUUGUGUGUUUAGAAAGCGUUUUUGGGGCACAGUCGGUUCAGCGUCUGACUUCAGCUUGGAUCAUGAUCUUGCGGUCUGUGGGUUCGAGCCCCGCGUUGGGCUCCGUGCUGACAACUCAGCUUCGGAUUCUGUGUCUCCCUCACUCUCUGCCCCUC